rnacentral:sRNA from 2 species
AUAACAGCCUUCUAGGGUUCCGUUUCAAUAUAUUUUGAGAGUCUGUGACCAAGAGUAGGCGGCAUGAACAAGUUUUAUGCUACACGGAGGGAUAAAAGCCCGGGAGAU